AAAGAUAAUGAACCAUACUGUGAAUGAUCAGAUAUCAUAUCAUAUAAUCAUCUCAACUCCAAAUAUGACGUUGGCACUGUUAUUUCCAUUUUACAAAUGAAGAGAUGAGGUUGAGAGGUAUCGUUUAUUAUCUUGGCCUAUAAGUACAUGGAAGAGUUGGAAUUCGAACUGAGAGCCAGGAUAUGAACUUACAAGUGCCUUGCUUUAGCACUGCCUGUCCCAGAAGGAUUGUACCUUUCUGCUUCUCCAGAAACUAACUAAAGAUUUUCUCACCUGCUGAGAGUUGAGGAUGUUGCUUCAGGCAUGUUCAGACUUCUGGAGGGGAGCAUUGACCUGAAACCACAGUGG
rnacentral:lncRNA from 1 species